rnacentral:rRNA from 1 species
GAUGAACGCUAGCGGCAGGCCUAACACAUGCAAGUCGAACGGUAACAGAGAAAAGCUUGCUUUUUUGCUGACGAGUGGCGCACGGGCGAGUAACGCGUAUACAAUCUACCUUUUACAGUGGGAUAGCCCAGAGAAAUUUGGAUUAAUACCGCAUAGUAUUAUUAGUUGGCAUCAAUUGAUAAUUAAAGUUUCGGCGGUAAAAGAUGAGUAUGCGUUCUAUUAGCUAGAUGGUGAGGUAACGGCUUACCAUGGCAACGAUAGAUAGGGGCCCUGAGAGGGGGAUCCCCCACACUGGUACUGAGACACGGACCAGACUCCUACGGGAGGCAGCAGUGAGGAAUAUUGGACAAUGGGCGCAAGCCUGAUCCAGCCAUGCCGCGUGCAGGAAGACUGCCCUAUGGGUUGUAAACUGCUUUUAUACAGGAAGAAACACCCCGACGUGUCGGGGCUUGACGGUACUGUAAGAAUAAGGAUCGGCUAACUCCGUGCCAGCAGCCGCGGUAAUACGGAGGAUCCAAGCGUUAUCCGGAAUCAUUGGGUUUAAAGGGUCC